UAGGGAAUCUUCGGCAAUGGGGGGAACCCUGACCGAGCAACGCCGCGUGAGUGAAGAAGGUUUUCGGAUCGUAAAGCUCUGUUGUUAAGGAAGAACGAGUGUGAGAAUGGAAAGUUCAUGCUGUGACGGUACUUAACCAGAAAGGGACGGCUAACUACGUGCCAGCAGCCGCGGUAAUACGUAGGUCCCGAGCGUUGUCCGGAUUUAUUGGGCGUAAAGCGAGCGCAGGCGGUUAGAAAAGUCUGAAGUGAAAGGCAGUGGCUCAACCAUUGUAGGCUUUGGAAACUGUUUAACUUGAGUGCAGAAGGGGAGAGUGGAAUUCCAUGUGUAGCGGUGAAAUGCGUAGAUAUAUGGAGGAACACCAGUGGCGAAGGCGACUUUCUGGUCUGUAACUGACGCUGAUGUGCGAAAGCGUGGGGAUCAAACAGG
rnacentral:rRNA from 1 species